GGUAGCAUGGCCGAGCGGUCUAAGGCGCUGGUUUAAGGCACCAGUCAUUUUCGAUGGCGUGGGUUCGAAUCCCAAUGCUUCCA
rnacentral:tRNA from 1 species